rnacentral:rRNA from 1 species
AACGAACGUUGGCGGCGUGGAUUAGGCAUGCAAGUCGCGGGAAUCCCAGCAAUGGGGGAACCGGCGUAAGGGGCAGUAAUGCGUGGGUACCUACCCCGGGGUCCGGGAUAGCCGUCCGAGAGGGCGGGUAAUACCGGAUGACCUCGGGAGAGCAAAGCUCCGGCGCCCCGGGGGGGGCCCACGUGAUAUUAGCUAGUUGGUGAGGUGACGGCUCACCAAGGCGGAGAUGUCUAGCGGGUGUGAGAGCACGACCCGCGCCACUCGCACUGAGACACUGGCGAGACACCUACGGGUGGCUGCAGUCGAGGAUCUUCGGCAAUGCGCGCAAGCGCGACCGAGCGACGCCGCGUGGGCGAUGAAGGCCUUCGGGUUGUAAAGCCCUGUCGAGGGGGAGAAAAGCGGGAAACCGUGUGAUCUAUCCCUGGAGGAAGCUCGGGCUAAGUUCGUGCCAGCAGCCGCAGUAAUAC